rnacentral:rRNA from 1 species
UAUACCCCACGGGGUGCAGCAGUAGGGGAUCUUCGGCAAUGGACGAAAGUCUGACCGAGCAACGCCGCGUGAGUGAAGAAGGUUUUCGGAUCGUAAAACUCUGUUGGUAGAGAAGAACGUUGGUGAGAGUGGAAAGCUCAUCAAGUGACGGUAACUACCCAGAAAGGGACGGCUAACUACGUGCCAGCAGCCGCGGUAAUACGUAGGUCCCGAGCGUUGUCCGAAUUUAUUGGGCGUAAAGC